GUAUAUUUUCGAUUUUCGAUUUUCGAUCUCCUCUUGUAGUAGUUCUCAUGCUUUUGCUGAUUCAUCUUUUUUCGAUUAUAUAUGGUUGAUGAUCUCGUUCUUAUGAUCUAAAACUUUGUUUUUAUUUUUACGAUCUGAUGCCGUAAUCGUGCUUUGGUUUGCUUUGCUUCCAUAAUUGAGGAUGUCUAGGGUUUUUCCGAUUCAUAUGAUUUUGCCGGUUUCAAGAUCUCAAAAAACUGAUAAUUCUCGGACUCUCUUUGUCAAUUAUUUGAGUAUUAUGCUUAAUUUGAUCAUGGAGUUCUAGGUUUUGAACUGCAGCACGAUGGAGUAUGGAUUAGAGUUUUUUCCGGCUUUGCCAAUCAAAGAUCGGAUCUUGAAGAAAUUUUUGGCAUUCUAGAUACAGCCGUUUUUGAACCGCUAACAGCUCAGGAUUACUAAUUUCUUUUCUUCGAUUAGUUGUUCUGCAUUUUUUUUCUAUGGCAUUGAUCGCGAGGCAUACGGAUUAAAUUGUGAACCUGUUUUUCUGCAGCAUAGUGCUUCAAUGCUUCGGCUCUCGUGCAUAAUUUGGUGAUCUCUAUCUGGAUUCUGAAUUCUUGGAUUUUUCUUUUCGUUUCUAUCUUUCUUUGUCGGUUCUGAGCGUCUGAUUUUCUGGAUUUACUUCUCAUGAUUUCUGCUUGGGUGUUACAGGGAAGAUAAUCUUGAAUAGGAAAUAUUCGCCGAUUGAAUAUCCUUUUACCGGAUUGAAGAUCUCAAGAAAUUGAUAGUUCUCGGACUCUUUGUUAAUGUCAAUUAUAUGAAUAUUAUGCUCCAUUUGAUCACGGAUUCCCAUGUUUUGAACUUCUUGCGUUUAUUCGUUUGCAGCACGGUGGAGUGCGGAUUUGAGUUUUCUGCUCUUUCGAGUUGCCAAUUGAACAUUGAAUCAUGAAGAAAUUUCUGCCAUUCUUGAUACUUCUAUCUAGCUCAGGAUCAUUAAUUUAAUUUCCUUGAUGAGUUGUUCUGUAUUACUUUUAUUAUGGAUUCAAUCUCGAGGCAUUAAAUUGUGAAUAUGUUCUUCUGCAGCGUAUUGCUUCCGUCGAGUCUGAAGCAUAAUUUGGUGAUUCUGGAUUCUGGAUUCUGGAUUCUCAGAUUUGUCUUUUCGUUUCUCUCUUUAUCUAUUCUGUGCGUCUAGUUGUGUGGAUUUACUUUUCUGUGAUUUCCGCUAAAGAUAAUCAAUUAAUUGGUUUUAGGUUUUUUGUGCGUCUCCCGUGGAAGCAGUGGGGGAGAGUAUUGACAUACUUUUUUGGCUUUAGGUUUUACCACCCUUAAUGCAAUCCUUUUCUUCUUAUUUUUCGUUUUUUUUUUUUUUUUUUGAAUGUGUUCAUUCUUUGUCAGUGUCGGAAUUCUUGUGUUUUCUGUAUCAGGAACGGGGUAUAUGGAGUAUUAAGGCGCAGGAGUUUGCACGAACAUUUCCGGAGAGUUCGCUCUGACCCCUUUGUUAUCUUUGUUCUGUUCAUCCUGCGUCUUGGCUUGGAGUAUUCUGCUACUCUUACUUUUGGUUUUUUUUAUAAUUUCUUAUAUGACUUUAAAGUGUUUCCUCGUCUAAUUGGAUUGGAUUUCCUGUUCGUUAUAGCAGCACAUGACGUUCCUUUGGACUUGGAUUAAGCAUAAAUUGUAUGUUUUGUUUCUAUAUUGAACACCUGAAUAUGCAGAUAUAUGGAAGUUUGGUCCAAACGGAUGUGUCAUAUAUUUCUUAAGGUUGCUAUAUAGGCAUUAAGUUUGGUCCGAAAAGCUGUAUAUUUCUUUGCCUUCUUGGGACAGUUUGGUUAGGCCCUUAGCUCUUUGUUCUUGUUCUUAGCUAGUAAUACGCUUUAGCUGGAUUGAAGAUCUCAAGAACUGACAGUUUUGGUCUCUCUUUACACAUUUUCCGAAAAGCUGUAUAUUUCUUUGCCUUCUUGGGACAGUUUGGUUAGGCCCUUAGCUCUUUGCUCUUGUUCUUAGCUAGUAAUACGCUUUAGCUGGAUUUGGUUAGGCCCUUAGCUCUUUGCUCUUGUUCUUAGCUAGUAAUACGCUUUAGCUGGAUUGAAGAUCUCAAGAACUGACAGUUUCGGUCUCUCUUUUUGUCAUUGGAGUAUGUAAGUUUUCUGUUCGAAGGCGUUGCCAAUUAAAGAUUUGAUCAUGAAGAAAUUUCUACCAUUCUUGAUACAGCAGACCAGAACGCCAACAACUCAGGAUUACUAAUUUAGUAUCUUCGAUUAGUUAUUCUCUCUCUUUAUUUUCUGGCUUUGAAUGAGACAUACGGAUUAAUUUGUGAACCGGUUUUCCUUUUGUCGGAUUGAAGAUCUCAAGAAAUUGAUAGUUCUCGAACUCCUCUUGUUUUGUCAAUUAUUUUAAUAUCAUUCUUCAUUUGGUCUUAUGGUGUUCUAGGUUGUGAACUUCUUGUAUUCAUACUAUGCAGCACGUUGGAGUCCGGAUAUGAGUUUUGUGUUCUUAGGCGUUGCCAAUUAAAAGAUUGGACAAUGAAGAAAUUUCUUCCUUACCUCAUACAACGAAUCAAAACUGCUAACAGCUCAGGAUUAUUUCUUGAUACAGCGAAUCAGAACUCCUAACAGCUCAGGAUUAACAGCACACAGUUAUCGAAGGGUGUGUAGGAGAGAAACUUAUCACAUGUAGCAUGAGAGUAAUUUCUCUCGUAUAUAUAAGUAGGGGUCCCCUAUUCCUAUAAUACAUACUUCUUUAUUAAAAUGAAAAAUAAGUGAAAUUUAAGUGAUAUUUUUUUUUGGUAAGCAAAUUUAAGUGAUAUUAAUUAUAAAGAAAUGAGUAGAAUAAAGACAAUUAAGUAGAUUACUUUUUUAUUUCUUGAUAUAGCGAAUCAGCACUCCUAACAGCUCAGGAUUAUUUCUUGAUACAGCGAAUCAGAACUGCUAACAGCUCGGGAUUAUUUCUUGAUACAGCGAAUCAGAACUGCUAACAGCUCGGGAUUAUUUCUUGAUACAGCGAAUCAGAACUGCUAACAGCUCAGGAUUAUUUAGUUGUCCUUCAAUAAGUUGGGAUCUACCUGGAUUCUUAAUUCUUUGAUUUGUCUUUCCGUUUCUAUCUUUCGUUAUCCUUUCUGAUUGUUUACUUUUCUCAAGUUACUUCUCUAUUCUGCUUGGUUGUUAUGGGGAAGCUAAUCAAUCAAUGUGUUGUAGGCUUUCGAAGCAGUGGCUGAUAGUAUUGACGUGCUUUCUGUUCGGCUUUAGGUUUUAUUACCAUUAAUAUCAGUUUCUUUUUUUAUUUGAAUGGGUUCGUUCUUGAUUGGCUGUCUUCUUGCUGGGUUCUGGAUUCCGUUAUUUUGAUAGUGAACGCUUGGUGGUGUCGGAAUUCUUGUAUGUUUCUAUAUCAGGACUAUGAUUUUUAAAGCGCUGGAGUUUACACGUUUCAUUUGCUUCCUUAUCGGGAGGAAUUUGGGAUAGUUUGGUUAGGCCCUUAGCUCAGAUGAUCUGCGAUUGUGUCAUGGUUUGGAGAAUUCUGCUCCUCUUUUUUUGCUGUUUUCUUGAAAAUUUCUUAUGUUUUUCAAGCAUUUCCUCUUCUAAUUGGAGAUAUCCUCUUCUUCACAGCAUCACAUAAUGUCCCUUUGGAAUGGUGGUAAUAAGCUUAAAUUGUUUGUUUCGAUUUUAUAUUGAGCACCUGAAUCUGCAGGUAGAUGGAAAUUUGGUCUAAACAGGGAUGAAUCAGCAUCUUCGCAUGGUUGUAUCAUAUUAUAGUCAGUAUUGUUUUUUAAUGAAACUUUUAAGAUAUUAUUUUAUAUCAUCAAACUGUUCUUUUAUAUAUAAUUUUUUUAAUAAUUUCUUACCGUGAUUAUGGUUUAUUUUUAUGGUCCUCUAUAUCCUUUUAAAACUAAGUAUUUUGUUAAUUCCAAUUCUUAAGUGCACAAAUUGAUGAAAGGAUUUUAACGAAUUUUCUGUUGAUCUAGGUGUUGAACUUCUUGCAUUUAUUAGUUUGCAGUACCUUGUGGUCUGGAAAUGUAUUUAUGCUCUUAGGAAUAGCCAAAUUGAAGAAUGGGUUUUAAGAAUGUUCUUCUAUUAUAUGUGCAGAGGUUUUUAUCAGAUGAAAUCGGCAAGGAGCUCUGCAUUAUUUGAUUUUACUUUUACAUGAGUUUGUUUUGUUUUCUUUUUGUUUUCUGGAAUUGAUGAUAGCCAUGAAUAUUAAUUGAAUUGCGAACUUGGUUUUGUACAGCUUAGUGUUUCUAACUAUUUAAUGUGAUAUUAGUGGUAUGUGUAUCUCAAUUGUUGUCUUCUAGCACGGGUUUUUUGUGUUCAGGAUUAGAGCAGUAGAGCUGUUUUGAUUUGGUGGCUGAUUUGCGCAUGAAGUUAGUCAGAUAAUUUUGGAACAGCAGAAAAGAGAUUGAAGACGAACGGCAUUCCCCACCUGAGAAAGUAGAGCUAACUUAUUUGAAGUUGCAAGUAAGGUAGUGAUGAUUGCUCUUAAUUGUGGUGUUACUUGAAAUUGAAAGUCAUCCAUCAUACGUAAAUGCUCAUCUAUUGAUGCAUAUCAAAGUUGUGAUUGAGAUUUUUAUGGUUAUUCCUAAAAACUGGUAGAUGCAUGGUUUUGGAGAUAAAAUAUGUGUUGCAGAGUAGUAGGUGCUCAGAGCACCGCAGGCUAUAUUGGGUCAUGUAUUCAGCGAAGUUAAGAUAGAGUGUGGAAGUUGGACUGAAAUUUUAUUGUAACAAAAGUGUGUAGAGAGGAUGGAAUGGGGCUGUUCUUCAUGAUAAUGGGUUAUAUGUUAUUCAUCUACACAAAAGAUGUUUUUGCUCAGGCGCAAGCAAUAUUGAGAUUUUUUUCAGUGAAGUCAAGACACUAGCAAUAUUGGGUUUCUGUAGCAAGAAAAUAGCAAUGUAACUUUUAAGGUGUAGUUCCCUGCCUUGUGAUUUCUGAACGUCUCAAUGGUGGAGCUGAUUGUGGUCCUUUGUGGUUUGUUCUGAUGGCUUGUGUGCUGGUUGGGCUUUGAUGUGGUGUUUGUUGUUAAUUCUGCUACUGUCACGUUCCUCUUUUCAUGUCAUAUGUGGCCUCUAUUCAUUCUGUUAGGGUUGCUCAUUGUGUUAAUGGUUGUUUUUGGUAGUGGAUGGGGUGUAGUAAGGUUUUUUUGCUUCCUUAAGCUCUUGGGUGAUUUCGUCUCGCAACUUGUUGGUUGCUUUCAAGUGAAGUUAAUCAUUUGCUUCUAUGGUCACAAUGAAAUUAAUCUUUUUGUGGCUUUUUCUCUGGGAGAAUGGGUUAUUGUUUCAGGUUUUGAAGUUCGGUGCUGUGGUUUGGUUCAUACAAUCAGAGCUGGAUGUCUGUUACAUUUUGUGCAUGAGAAGGUGUGCUUACUAAUUUGAGGGUUCCAAAGUGGUAUCAGUCUGUUUGUUUCUGUUCGUUAUAUAUAUUUUUUUCCCAGUAUGACGGUUUCAAGAGGAGUUGGGACUUCACAAAGUGUUAAAUAUUUUAAGGAGGUUAUUGUGAGGUGGGGUUGUUUCAGGUUUUGAAGUAAGUUGUUAUGAUUCAGUUUGUAAAGUCAACGCUGGAUUUUUUUGCUAGCAGAUUUAUUCUAAUGUCUAUUAUAAUUGUUUGGUGCACUUACUAACUAGUGCUGUUCAAAUGGUUUGUCAUCUGCAAAGCCUGUUGAUUUCUGUUCAGUAAUGCGUAUUGUUCUCUUCACUGUACAAUAUGUUAAGAGGUGUUGAAGACGUAGCUUUAGUGUGCAAUUUUCGAUGAUUUUCCGUACUUUCAAGCUACUUUGUUAUUUUCAUUUCUUUAGGGAAAAUGUUAUAUGUCUUGCCAGUUUGGUAUGUGUUGAAGCAGUAUCUAUUACAUAGAGCAAUAAGAGGUAAAUGGACUGUAAUAUUUCCAGGAGAUCAGCUACAUUGAUUGGCAUUUUAUGGGGUUUUUAAUCCGAAAUUUUUAUCAAGUGAAGCGUGAUAAUUUGACCAUCUGCUUAUUUUGUCUCUAGGGCCAAUGUUAUUGAAGAGGGAUCAAGGUCGAAGAAGCAAAAAUAUUCCAAGAGGGAAAUGCACAAGGCAAAGGAUAUUAGAUAAGAAGUGCACUUGGUCCGAGGUUUAGGAGAUUGCCAACAAUAAUGUGAUCCAAAGUGGCAGGGAGAGACAUCCUUGUUUCGGUUUUGAGUUCUUGCCUUAUACUCGGGAAAGAUUUCACAGCGUGAAACAAGAAGUACUGUUCAAAUAAUGAUUUUGUGUGGUUCAAAUUCUUACACACGUUGAGGAUCGGCGUGUAAAAGGCUAUAUUCUUUCUGUACUCAUUACAGCUCGUUGAGACUAUUAAAUUUAUUGAUAAAAUUCUAAUUACAUGUAUUUUUCAUUAUGUCAUCGUCCGAGGUACCAAGCCAUACUUGAGUUCAUAGUGUUUUUGUGAAUUAUGGCGGGAUGAUGUAUGGUCUGAAGUAAGUUACUAGAAGAACAUGUAACUAGAGCUGUUAAAAUGGGUCAGUCCGUCUUAUUUGGCCCUAAUCUGUGUGGGUUAGGGCCAAAAAGCUCAUUUUUCAUUAUGUCAUCGUUCCAGAUACCAAGCCAUACUUGAGUUCAUAGUGUUUUUGUGAAUUAUGGCGGGAUGAUGUAUGGUCUCAAGUUACUAGAAGAACAAGUAACUAGAGCUGUUAAAAUGGGCCAGUCCGUCUUAUUUGGCCUUAAUCUGUGUGGGUUAGGGCCAAAAAGCUCAGGGCCAACAUUAAUAAUCAUUGCCCGCAUAGGGCAAAAGCUCUAUUGGUUAGGGUCAGCCUGC